GACGAACGCUGGCGGCGUGCCUAAUACAUGCAAGUAGAACGCUGAAGGAGGCGCUUGCUUCUCUGGAUGAGUUGCGAACGGGUGAGUAACGCGUAGGUAACCUGCCUGGUAGCGGGGGAUAACUAUUGGAAACGAUAGCUAAUACCGCAUAAUAGUAGAUGUUGCAUGACAUUUGCUUAAAAGGUGCAAUUGCAUCACUACCAGAUGGACCUGCGUUGUAUUAGCUAGUUGGUGGGGUAACGGCUCACCAAGGCGACGAUACAUAGCCGACCUGAGAGGGUGAUCGGCCACACUGGGAAUGAGAAACGGCCCAGACUCCUACGGGGAGCAGCAGUAGGGGAACUUCGGCAAUGGACGGAAGUCUGACCGAGCAACGCCGCGUGAGAGGAGAAGGUUUUCGGAUCGUAAAACUCUGUUGUAAGAGAAGAAAGGGUGUGAGAGUAGAAAGUUCACACAGUGACGGUAUCUGAACAGAAAGGGACGGCUAACUACGUG
rnacentral:rRNA from 1 species